rnacentral:rRNA from 1 species
GUGGGGAAUCUUGCGCAAUGGGCGAAAGCCUGACGCAGCCAUGCCGCGUGAAUGAUGAAGGUCUUAGGAUUGUAAAAUUCUUUCACCGGGGACGAUAAUGACGGUACCUGGAGAAGAAGCCCCGGCUAACUUCGUGCCAGCAGCCGCGGUAAUACGAAGGGGGCUAGCGUUGCUCGGAAUUACUGGGCGUAAAGGGCGCGUAGGCGGACAGUUUAGUCAGAGGUGAAAGCCCAGGGCUCAACCUUGGAAUUGCCUUUGAUACUGGCUGUCUUGAGUACGGGAGAGGUGAGUGGAACUCCGAGUGUAGAGGUGAAAUUCGUAGAUAUUCGGAAGAACACCAGUGGCGAAGGCGACUCACUGGCCCGUUACUGACGCUGAGGCGCGAAAGCGUGGGGAGCAAACAGGAUUAGAAACCCCUGUAGUCC